rnacentral:lncRNA from 1 species
ACUGUGCACCUCUAUUUUUCUAAAUCAGUGAAGCUAGUUCUGUUAACACUAACGUCUAUCUUGCCAAUUUCAGGGCUUCUGUGUCCUUUUACAUUCUGCCAGGAUCUUUCAACUGCUCUUCUGAAGAUCCUGAGUUCAAAUCCCAGCAACCACAUGGUGGCUCACAACCACCCGUAAUGAGAUCAGACACCUUAAAUAAAUCUUUAAAAAAAACAAAGAAUACCUCCAUCAUUGAGAUUCCAGAAGCCCUAUUCAAACCUGUUAUCUUCUUCCAGCAGCCUGCAAUGCUAGCCCCAUUUAAAAGAAAAAAAUAAUAAUAAUCCCUGGAACUGAGGAGAUGGUCCAAUGGGUAAGAGUGCUUGUUGUGAUAGUUUGAGGGCUGGGUUUGAAUCCCCAGAACCCAUGUAAAAAGCCAGGUAUACAGGAUUUAGCUCUAAGGAAAUCCAGUUUUACAAAAAAAAAAAAAAAAAAAAAAAAAAUGUAUCCUGCAGAAACUCACAGAAAAUGGUUUUCAUCUGGAAAACAACCAAGAAGCAACACUGGGAUAGGUCAGAAUGGAUGACAUGUAUUUGGAGGUGUUUGGCUGAGCCAUCUCAUCCUUAGUAUGUUUUUGAAUGCUUUACUGAGAAGCCUUCAUGUUUUACAGUAAUGUAACUAUCUAAAGAGAAGCAGUGCAUCUUCCAGAGGAGCUUUGCCUGUGGAUUAUUACAUAAGCAGCUGUCCAUGGGCAGAGUGGUAUGGUAGUGCAGGGGAGGCGGCGUUAGGUUUGGAGCUGGUUUGUCUUCUCUUCCCCUUUUCAUGUACUUUGUAAUGUCAGUGUUUAUAUGAAUAUUAUCUUGACUUGCUCUUCCUGAAUAAAGAAGUUAUUAAUUGAAGAACAGAAACAAAACCUGAGUGCAGCUGUUUAAGCCUUUAACUUCAGCAUUGUGAGCAGAGACAAGUAGAUCUUGGAAACUCACUUACCAGCCACUCUAGCAGAAAAGCCAAGCUUUCUAAUUCAGUGAAAGGCUCAGUUUUAAAGGAUUAAAGUAGAGACUGAUAGAGGAAGAUACCUAACCUCUGGCUUCUUCAUGCAUGCACAUAGGUAUGUGCACUCGCAUCCAUGUACUACACCACCCAUACCACGCAGACCUAAAUAAAUAAAUAAAUGACCUGAUGUUUCCCACUGGGCAUGGUGGCACACACCUGUAAUCCCAGCAUUUAGGAUGUGAGUCAGGAAGCACUUAGGAAAUAAAGACCCAUUUUUAAGUGCUAAAAAUCAACAAAAGUACAAGUAAAGCCUAAAUUUCAUUCCAAAUGGUUUUUCUUGAUCAAGCAAACUUUAAUUUUCAUUGGGAUUAAAAUCAAAGUUAACCAAAGUGUCUGAUAUUUUUGUAAAUCCUUGGAAUUAUAACAUUAAAGUAUCAUUCAAUCAGCAUAAAUUGUAUUUAUAUAAUAAUGUAUAGAAUAGGUAAUGAUCCUGAUGUUAAUACUACAGGAUUUAAGACUUCUAAUUCUGUAGGGCAAGCAGGCUAAAUCCCUCUAUUUCUGUUUUGUGAGACCCAGGGAAAUCAUCCCUCCCCCCUUCCUGACCCCCACAUAUAUUAAACAAUACUAGUAAGUGCCUGAGUCAGAAUUGGCCUCUGGAUGCUGAGCUGUCUCUGCACUCCCCACUAUAUCACAGCUAGAAUAAUAGAUGGGAAGCCCUUUGAACUGCUGGAGGGUUGUUAAUGCAUUUAUUUAGGGCCAGUGUAUAAGAGAUUUCUGCACGAUGGUGCGAUAGAUCUAGUGCUGAGUUUUACUUGAAUGUUCUUAAAGGUGAACCAGAUGCAGUUAUUUUUAUUGAAAGGAAAGAAAAUUGGAUGAGUGCUUCUUUUGUUUGUCCUUGAGAAAGAUUAGUUUUGAUCCCAUUUCAGAGUAUGCAUCUGACUGCUUAGUGUAGUGAGCUGUGUAACUCUGUAUGGUGCACCAUGUUGUGGUUAACUCCUCCAAAUACUUUGUUCUUCUUUGAAACACUAAAUGGAGACUCAGCACACAUAGUUCAAGAGUUCAUCCUGUCAGCUGUGGAAAGCACAAACUGUAAUAUGAUGAGGCUUAAGGAUUAUCACAGUUCUGAACUUAACUUUCUGUUCUUAAGAGAACAAUUUCUUCAUUAAAAAG